rnacentral:rRNA from 1 species
UCAAUAAGCGGAGGAAAAGAAACCAACAGGGAUUGCCCUAGUAACGGCGAGUGAAGCGGCAACAGCUCAAAUUUGGAAUCUGGCUCUUUUUGGGGGUCCGAGUUGUAAUUUGCAGAGGAUGCUUUGGCAUUGGCGGCGGUCUAAGUUCCUUGGAACAGGACAUCGCAGAGGGUGAGAAUCCCGUACGUGGGCGCCUGCCUUUGCCGUGUAAAGCUCCUUCGACGAGUCGAGUUGUUUGGGAAUGCAGCUCUAAAUGGGAGGUAAAUUUCUUCUAAAGCUAAAUACCGGCCAGAGACCGAUAGCGCACAAGUAGAGUGAUCGAAAGAUGAAAAGUACUUUGGAAAGAGAGUCAAAAAGCACGUGAAAUUGUUGAAAGGGAAGCGCUUGCAGCCAGACUUGCCCGCAGUUGCUCACCUAGGCUUUGGCCUGGGGCACUCUUCUGCGGGCAGGCCAGCAUCAGUUUGGGCGGUCGGAUAAAGGCCUCUGUCACGUAUCUACCUUCGGGUUGACCUUAUAGGGGAGGCGUAAUGCGACCAGCCCGGACUGAGGUCCGCGCAUCUGCUAGGAUGCUGGCGUAAUGGCUGUAAGCGGCCCGUCUUGAAACACGGACCAAGGAGUCUAACAUCUAUGCGAGUGUUUGGGUGUCAAGCCCGGGCGCGUAAUGAAAGUGAACGGAGGUGGGAACCCUUUGGGUGCACCAUCGACCGAUCCUGAUGUCUUCGGAUGGAUUUGAGUAAGAGCAUAGCUGUUGGGACCCGAAAGAUGGUGAACUAUGCUUGAAUAGGGUGAAGCCAGAGGAAACUCUGGUGGAGGCUCGCAGCGGUUCUGACGUGCAAAUCGAUCGUCAAAUUUGGGCAUAGGGGCGAAAGACUAAUCGAAC